CCGGAUGCGUCCGGGGGCGGUGUCGCCGGCCACACGCCCAUUCUUGUCUAUUUACCCAGUUGCCUCGGCGGGCCGCGCACUCGUGCCGCGCCUCGAGGAGCCGUCCGGGGACAAUCAACUCCCUGGAUCGCGCCCGCCGGAGGAGUGAUUAAAAUCCAUGAAUACUGUUCCGUCUGAGCGUUAGCAAGUAAAAUCAGUUAAAACUUUCAACAACGGAUCUCUUGGUUCCGGCAUCGAUGAAGAACGCAGCGAAAUGCGAUAAGUAAUGUGAAUUGCAGAAUUCCGUGAAUCAUCGAAUCUUUGAACGCACAUUGCGCCCUCUGGUAUUCCGGGGGGCAUGCCUGUUCGAGCGUCAUUUCAACCCCUCAAGCCCGGCUUGUGUGAUGGACGACCGUCCCGCCCUCCCUACUCCAGGGGAGGGGGACGCGCCCGAAAAGCAGUGGCCAGGCCGCGAUUCCGGCUCCUGGGCGAAUGGGCAACAAACCAACGCCUCUAGGACCGGCCGGUUUUCUGGCCUAGUUUUAGUUAGGGAUGAACUUCCCUACAAUCAGGUUGACCUCGGAUCAGGUAGGGAUACCCGCUGAACUUAAGCAUAUCAAUAAGCGGAGGAAAAGAAACCAACAGGGAUUGCCCCAGUAACGGCGAGUGAAGCGGCAAAAGCUCAAAUUUGAAAUCUGGCCUCCUACGGGGGUCCGAGUUGUAAUUUGUAGAGGAUGCUUCGGGUGUGGCCGCCGUCUAAGUUCCUUGGAACAGGACGUCAGAGAGGGUGAGAAUCCCGUCUUGGGCGGCCGGUCCGCGCCCGUGUGAAGCUCCUUCGAAGAGUCGAGUUGUUUGGGAAUGCAGCUCUAAGCGGGUGGUAAAUUUCAUCUAAAGCUAAAUACUGGUCGGAGACCGAUAGCGCACAAGUAGAGUGAUCGAAAGGUUAAAAGCACCUUGAAAAGGGAGUUAAACAGCACGUGAAAUUGUUGAAAGGGAAGCGCUUGCGGCCAGACUCGGGGGCGGGGUUCAGCGGGUGCUCGUCGCCCGUGCACUCCCCGUCUCCCGGGCCAGCAUCAGUUUCGACGGCCGGUCAAAGGCCUCCGGAAUGUGUCGUCUCUCGGGACGUCUUAUAGCCGGGGGUGCAAUGCGGCCCGUCGGGACUGAGGAACGCGCU
rnacentral:sRNA from 1 species